UACACAUGCAGUCGAACGAAGCCUUCGGGNNUUAGUGGCGGACGGGUGAGUAACGCGUGGGAACAUACCCUUUGUACGGAAUAGCCUCGGGAAACUGGGAGUAAUACCGUAUGUGCCCUUCGGGGGAAAGAUUUAUCGCCAAAGGAUUGGCCCGCGUUGGAUUAGGUAGUUGGUGGGGUAAUGGCCUACCAAGCCGACGAUCCAUAGCUGGUUUGAGAGGAUGAUCAGCCACACUGGGACUGAGACACGNCCCAGACUCCUACGGGAGGCAGCAGUGGGGAAUCUUAGACAAUGGGCGCA
rnacentral:rRNA from 1 species